CAUGAAUAUUCAUGUUUAAUAUUCAUGUGGGCGGGGCGCCCACUGAAACAGAAAAUCUCGGAAACCGAAAAUCUCGUAACAUCGGACACAUGGAGCAGAUAAAAACAGCGUCAUCAUACCCACAGAUUUUAGGAAGAUGGUGCCGUAUAGACGAGAGAAAGCCAUCUGUCAAUGAUGUAUGACCGUCAACUUGUUUCCUAAUGCCACAUAUUUCUUGGUACAUGCUGCUCAGGGACUGUGGGCUGAUAUCCUCAUAUAAUCCUGCAUGAAACGGCCAAGGAAAACCCC
rnacentral:lncRNA from 1 species